rnacentral:rRNA from 1 species
UACAGAGGGUGCGAGCGUUAAUCGGAAUUACUGGGCGUAAAGGGCUCGUAGGCGGCCAACUAAGUCGGAUGUGAAAUCCCCAGGCUUAACCUGGGAACUGCAUCCGAUACUGGAUGGCUUGAAUCCGGGAGAGGGAUGCAGAAUUCCAGGUGUAGCGGUGAAAUGCGUAGAUAUCUGGAGGAAUACCGGUGGCGAAGGCGGCAUCCUGGACCGGCAUUGACGCUGAUGAGCGAAAGCUAGGGGAGCAAACGGG